UACAGAGGGUGCGAGCGUUAAUCGGAAUUAUUGGGCGUAAAGAGCUCGUAGGCGGUUUGUCGCGUCUGCCGUGAAAGUCCGGGGCUCAACUCCGGAUCUGCGGUGGGUACGGGCAGACUAGAGUGAUGUAGGGGAGACUGGAAUUCCUGGUGUAGCGGUGAAAUGCGCAGAUAUCAGGAGGAACACCGAUGGCGAAGGCAGAUCUCUGGGCAUUAACUGACGCUGAGGAGCGAAAGCAUGGGGAGCGAGCAGG
rnacentral:rRNA from 1 species